ensembl:lncRNA
UGGAGAUAUCUGUGUACCUGGGGCUCUUCUGGAGGUACCUUUGUUCCCAGAAAUGGUCUGAAUGAAGACUGGGACUGUGACUUCUUUCCCACAGGCAAACUGAACCUUGCAAGUGACCCACCAGAGAUCAAGAGGGAGAAAGAGAGGAGACAUUUCUGAUGAAAAGGAAAACAUUGAUAGCACUUAUGGGAGAAGAUAAGGGCAGCGACCAUGGCCAAGAAGAACAAAAGCUGCUGUCAACUGUCAUGAAACUCCAGGAGAUCUGACCUGAAGAAAAAGCAAACCACAGCUUCUGCUUUUACUGAACCCAUCGAGUCAAUGGUGCUCUCUCCUCACCCACAGGUCCCAAAUCAGCCCAGAAUGAUGAAAUGGAAGGUUUGCCAAAAUAGGUGAAAU